rnacentral:rRNA from 1 species
UGAGUAAUGUCUGGGAAACUGCCUGAUGGAGGGGGAUAACUACUGGAAACGGUAGCUAAUACCGCAUAACGUCGCAAGACCAAAGAGGGGGACCUUCGGGCCUCUUGCCAUCAGAUGUGCCCAGAUGGGAUUAGCUAGUAGGUGGGGUAAUGGCUCACCUAGGCGACGAUCCCUAGCUGGUCUGAGAGGAUGACCAGCCACACUGGAACUGAGACACGGUCCAGACUCCUACGGGAGGCAGCAGUGGGGAAUAUUGCACAAUGGGCGCAAGCCUGAUGCAGCCAUGCCGCGUGUGUGAAGAAGGCCUUCGGGUUGUAAAGCACUUUCAGCGAGGAGGAAGGUGGUGAGCUUAAUACGCUCAUCAAUUGACGUUACUCGCAGAAGAAGCAUCGGCUAACUCCGUGCCAGCAGCCGCGGUAAUACGGAGGGUGCAAGCGUUAAUCGGAAUUACUGGGCGUAAAGCGCACGCAGGCGGUUUGUUAAGUCAGAUGUGAAAUCCCCGGG